rnacentral:rRNA from 1 species
CCUACGGGUGGCAGCAGUGAGGAAUAUUGGACAAUGGGCUUACGCCUGAACCAGCCAAGCCGCGUGAGGGAAGACGGCCCUAUGGGUUGUAAACCUCUUUUGUCAGGGAGCAAUUGCCGCUACGUGUAUCGUUAUCGAGAGUACCUGCAUAAAAAGCAUCGGCUAACUCCGUGCCAGCAGCCACGGGAAUACAGAGGAUGAUAGCGUGAUCCGAAUGUAUUUGGUGAAAGGGGUGCGUAGGGGGAAUGGCAAGUCAGCGGUAAAAUCGCGGGGCUAAACUUCGCACCGCCGUGGAUACUGGCAGUGUAGAGUGGGGGAGAGGUAUGCGGAAUGCGUGGUGUAGCGGUGAAAUGCAUAGAUAUCACGCAGAACACCGAUUGCGAAGGCAGCAUACCGGCGUCCAACUGACGCUGAAGCACGAAAGCGUGGGUAGCGAACAGGAUUAGAUACCCGUGUAGUC